GAUGAACGCUAGCGAUAGGCUUAACACAUGCAAGUCGAGGGGCAGCAUGGUCUUAGUUGGCUAAGACUGUUGGCGACGGGCGCACGGGUGCGAAAGGGGUAGCCAACUUGCCCCACAGAGGGGGCUACCCGGCCGAAGACCGAAUAAUUACCACGAUCAUUUGGGUUAGGGCUCCCUAACCCAAGGAAAUGAAAUUGGCGGUGAGAUAGGCAUGCGUCCCAUUAGCUAUUUGGUGAGGUAACGGCUCACCAAGGCGACGAUGUGUAGGGGAACGGAGAGGUUGAACCCCCACACUGGUACUGAGACACGGACCAGACUCCUACGGGAGGCAGCAGUGAGGAAUAUUGGUCAAUGGGCGAGAGCCUGAACCAGCCAAGUCGCGUGAAGGAUGACUGUCUUAUGGAUUGUAAACUUCUUUUAUACGGGAAUAACAAGAGUCACGUGUGGCUCCCUGCAUGUACCGUAUGAAUAAGCAUCGGCUAACUCCGUG
rnacentral:rRNA from 1 species